AUGAUCAAAUUAGUCACUUUGAUUUCAUGUAUUACCAAAACACUGGUACCAAAUAUUAGCAAAUCAAUAUGUCAUCUUUCCCAAGAAACAUCAGCCCCAGUGCAGACUCUGGCGUAGUCUCUGCCGGGUCCUGUCUCCCAGGUCCCUUCCCCAGUGGCCGUGAGGUCAUUUGGCCUCCAUCGUGGACAGCUACGAGCAACGCAACGAGGGUGCUGCCCACGUUAUCGGGACCCUGCUGGGAACCCUGUUGACAAGCAUUCAGUGGAGGUUACUAACUGCUUUUCAGUGCCGCACUAUGAGUCAGAAGAUGAGGUGGCUGUUGACGUGGAAUGACAUUACAGAGCACUGUGCUGAUCCAUGAGUACUACAGCUGGGAAGCCCCCAACCCCAUUCACCUCACUCUAGACACAAGCCUCCAGAACGGCUGCAUGAGCAUCAAGGCCUAUGUCAGCACUUUAAUGGGUGUCCCUGGGAGGACCAUGGGGGUGAUGUUCACACCUCUGACAGUGAAAUAUGCAUAUUAUGACACUGAACGCAUUGGAGUUGACCUGAUCAUGAAGACCUGUUUUAGCCCCAGCCAGGUGAUUGGGCUCUCAAGCGACUUGCAGAGUAGGAGGGGCAUCAGCUCGCAUCCAGGAUGCCCUAAGCACAGUGUUGCAGUAUGCAGAGGAUGUGCUGUCUGGAAAGGUGUCAGCUGACAAUACUGUGGGCUGCUUCUUGAUGGGUCUGGUUAACCAAGUACCCAAGAUAGUUCCCAAUGACUUUGAGACCAUGCUCAACAGCAACAUCAAUGACCUGCUGAUGGUGACCUACUUGGCCAAUCUCACGCAGUCGCAGAUUGCCCUCAAUGAGAAAUUUGUAAACCUGUGAAUGGGCCCCAUGCAGCACUCCUGCCAGUCUGGGCCACCCUAGGACUCAGAAUGGAGUGAAGUAGAAUGGUUUUCUUGUGGUUUGAGUCACAUUGAGUCAGUCAACUGCUUGUGACUCUAAACAAAUAUAGCCUACCUUUUGUAAAUGAA